rnacentral:rRNA from 1 species
UACAGAGGGGGCAAGCGUUAUUCGGAAUUACUGGGCGUAAAGGGCGCGUAGGCGGUUUUUUAAGUCGGAUGUGUAAUCCCCGAGCUCAACUUGGGAACUGCAUCCGAAACUGGGAAGCUAGAGUACUGGAGAGGGUGGUAGAAUUCCACGUGUAGCGGUGAAAUGCGUAGAGAUGUGGAGGAAUACCAGUGGCGAAGGCGGCCACCUGGACAGUAACUGACGCUGAGGCGCGAAAGUGUGGGGAGCAAAC